CGGCGGACGGGUGAGUAACACGUGGGUAACCUACCUAUAAGACUGGGACAACUUCGGGAAACCGGAGCUAAUACCGGAUAAGAUAUCGAACCGCAUGGUUCGAUAGUGAAAGAUGGUUUUGCUAUCACUUAUAGAUGGACCCGCGCCGUAUUAGCUAGUUGGUGAGGUAACGGCUCACCAAGGCAACGAUACGUAGCCGACCUGAGAGGGUGAUCGGCCACACUGGAACUGAGACACGGUCCAGACUCCUACGGGAGGCAGCAGCCC
rnacentral:rRNA from 1 species